GAUGAACGCUGUCGGCGUGCCUAAUACAUGCAAGUCGAGCGAACGGACGAGAAGCUUGCUUCUCUGAUGUUAGCGGCGGACGGGUGAGUAACACGUGGAUAACCUACCUAUAAGACUGGGAUAACUUCGGGAAACCGGAGCUAAUACCGGAUAAUAUUUUGAACCGCAUGGUUCAAAAGUGAAAGACGGUCUUGCUGUCACUUAUAGAUGGAUCCGCGCUGCAUUAGCUAGUUGGUAAGGUAACGGCUUACCAAGGCAACGAUGCAUAGCCGACCUGAGAGGGUGAUCGGCCACACUGGAACUGAGACACGGUCCAGACUCCUACGGGAGGCAGCAGUAGGGUAUCUUCCGCAAUGGGCGAAAGCCUGACGGAGCAACGCCGCGUGAGUGAUGAAGGUCUUCGGAUCGUAAAACUCUGUUAUUAGGGAAGAACAUAUGUGUAAGUAACUGUGCACAUCUUGACGGUACCUAAUCAGAAAGCCACGGCUAACUACGUG
rnacentral:rRNA from 1 species